rnacentral:rRNA from 1 species
UACGAGGGGUCCUAGCGUUGUUCGGAAUCGCUGGGCGUAAAGCGUAUGUAGGCGGACUUUUAAGUCAGGUGUGAAAUCCCACGGCUCAACCGUGGAAUUGCAUUUGAAACUGGAAGUCUUGAGUGUGGGAGAGAUUGGUAGAAUACCUGGUGUAGUGGUGAAAUACGUAGAUAUCAGGUGGAAUACCGGUGGCGAAGGCGGCCAAUUGGCCCAACACUGACGCUGAGAUACGAAAGCGUGGGGAUCAAACAGG